rnacentral:lncRNA from 1 species
GCGGUUUGUGGGUGGGCUGUGCAGUCCUGGCGCUCUGAACGACCCGGAUGGCCCGCGCAGGCUGGCGCAGUGCCAGUGCGGUGGGUGUGGAGCCAAGGGAAGGCAUUGCCUCCUACUGCGGGAGGCCCGGGAGUCAAUUCUGCCGCCCACCUCGCGAAGACCGAGCCCUAAACUGCAAGUCGGUUCCCAGGGAAGCAGAGAAUGUACCCGGCACUGUGGUAGACAGCGGAGGAGGCACAGAUGGAAGGAUGGGGUGCCUGUCUGGCAGAGACCUUGAGGUAAGCACAGGUAGAAGAUCAGAUCUGAUGGGAAGAGACAGGCAGACUUCAUUUACCAGCGUAUUUCUAUUCAUCCUCUCCAGGGUUUCCCUGCCCAGCUCCUGGGGAUGGAACCCAGGCCUCCUGCACACGGGGCAACUUCUCUACCCCAGGCCACACCUCC